rnacentral:rRNA from 1 species
UACGUAGGAUGCUAGCGUUGUCCGGAUUUACUGGGCGUAAAGCGCGCGCAGGCGGUCCUUUAAGUCAGGGGUGAAAGCCCAGAGCUCAACUCUGGAACUGCCUUUGAAACUAGAGGACUUGGGUACGGGAGAGGUGAGUGGAAUUCCGAGUGUAGAGGUGAAAUUCGUAGAUAUUCGGAAGAACACCAGUGGCGAAGGCGGCUCACUGGCCCGUUACCGACGCUCAGGCGCGACAGCGUGGGGAGCAAACAGG